UCGAUUAUUGUCAAAACUGAAACACGUUGUUUUUCUACUUGGAAGUUUUAUCCACCACUAGAUUUUUCACCCUCUCCGGGGGUCUGUAUACCAAUAAACUGUUGAUCUCUCAA